rnacentral:misc_RNA from 1 species
GAUCCUCAUAGAGUUGGUAAGAUAACUGUUCAAUUGCUUGGAAGAAUUAACGAUUGUCGUGCUCUCACCUACAGACAAGACAUCAAGGCUGCAAGCAUGGAGAACUACAAGACACGUACAUUACCAACUCGUCAGUGGGGCUAUGUUGUUAUUACAACCCCAAAUGGAGUUCUGGAUCACGAAGAAGCAAUGAGACAAAAUAUGGGUGGUCAAGUUAUUGGCUACUUUUAUUGAACCAAGUUUCAGUCAAAGUUCAAGGUUUGAGACUAUAAAGAUACUCUUGCAAGUCCUUUGUUUUUUUACACCGUGACUAGCUCCUAGCAUACUUCUUUUUCAAGGCCUUAGUUCUCUGUCCUCUAUAUGGCAUAUAAGGAUAGAAAACUAG